rnacentral:rRNA from 1 species
GUGACCCCAAGUCAGUGGCCACCGGUCGA